rnacentral:lncRNA from 1 species
GUUUGACCAGAUCAAGAUCGCUUACACCGGGGAGCACAGUGUAAUUAUUAAGAGAUGGUUUUCUGGUCAAGAGAAGAAGAAGCAGAGACUUGGAUGUCUGAAGAUGACAAAAACCAAAACAUGAUACAAAGUUAGAUGCCGGCCUGUUGUUGUGAUGCGCCACCAAAAAGUUCUUAAUUUGUGUAAAGGAGCAAACGAUUGAGAAAGAACUGUAUAGAUUAACCGAGGUCAAGGUUUUAGCUACCGGGGAUUUGUGAUCGCCGGUGACCACGGCACACGGAAAAUCCUAGAUGUUUACCGAACAGGAAUUCUAAUCAAAUCUUGAAUUUAAUAUUGCACCCCUAUAUGAUUUUGCAAAUGCAAUCAGUGUGCUGGACAGAGUUAUCUCUUCAGACUAGGGGGUCACGGGGUUUGACACUAUUCAUCUAUGGCUUAAGUUCAAUUAGAAAAACAAUUUUGUCCAAUAAACCCAUAUACCAGGGGAUUAUGAAAAGGGGUUGUCAAAUGAUAAAUCCUGAUUCAUGUUUACAAAUUUGCUAUUACAUAGGUCUAACGCAGUAACCUGAUUGCGGUUACAUGGCAAUUAGAUAGGUAAUUUUUUAGACUAUGGCUCAGUCAAUUUCGAAAUAGUUAUUUCUCGGUAAACUAUUCACAGCCAUAUCAUCAAGAUUUCCCCAUCACUUUUGUACCUACACAAAUCCUUAAAUUUAAUAGAACAAUCAUCAAAGGUGAUUGAAAAAUAGUUAUUUUUCAGCCUUCCUUUCAAAUAGCAAAACCGUUAAAAAAAAUGAAAUGAUGUCCAUACCUACCCAUGCUAUUUCUGGUGAGAUAUGUGGAGGGGUGCUAGACAAUUUAGCACCCAAUUAUUCAGAAGCGCUCUCCCAAAUUAACAUACAGAAGUAUCAUUGUGAAGGAAAGAUAAGUUGAUUGUGUUCUUGACACACUCAUCACCCGUGGGAGGAGCAGAUGCAGUGCAUCCAUUUAAGCCUAAAUUGUUGACAAUUAACGGCCAGUUUGUAGAAUGUAGAUUUUCUUGGGUGAAAUUUCAGAGUUCUCUGUGUGGAAACAAUGCAGCAAGAAAGCACAACAGGGAAACAAAAUGAAGGGUUUGAGGAAAAAACAGCUUGGUGGUAGUUUGUGCUGAUCACCUGUCAGAAAUUCAUAACCUGUGUGGUGGUCGCCGGAGAAUAGAUGGCCGAAGUUUCUGGAGGGGAGUCGGUUUCGACCGCCGGACCGGAGCUCCGCCGAGCAGCAUCAGAGACGUCGAUUGGGCUUGUAUUGGAGACGCUGGGAAAUGAAAUGAAGCUUGUGGUUGCGACUAUACCGGCAGUGGACGGGGUAGGAUUUGGAUGAGGAUAUGAGUUCUGUUCCUACGGGAGGAGACAUUUAUGCAGAACGCAGCCGCCGGCGGUGUAUCUUAUCGAGCGCGGCCGCGGCUUGCGCAGGCGACGGCGACGGGGGCGGCGCGAGCAUCGCUAGCGCGUAUUGCACGCUCGCACUGGUCCGAAGUAGGUAUGGCAGAAUCAUCCCGGAACUGCGGCCGUCGGCGGCGGGGCGGCGGUAGAUGCGCUUGGCGGCGGCGAUCCCCGGAGGUGGCGGCGGCGGCGGGGACAGCAAUUCCC